UACAGAGGUCUCGAGCGUUGUUCGGAUUCAUUGGGCGUAAAGGGUGCGUAGGCGGCGCGGUAAGUCGGGUGUGAAAUCUUGGAGCUUAACUCCGAAACUGCAUUCGAUACUGCCGUGCUUGAGGACUGGAGAGGAGACUGGAAUUUACGGUGUAGCGGUGAAAUGCGUAGAUAUCGUAAGGAAGACCAGUGGCGAAGGCGGGUCUCUGGACAGUUCCUGACGCUGAGGCACGAAGGCCAGGGGAGCGAAACGGG
rnacentral:rRNA from 1 species